GUAACCUGUGAGGACGGAGAGGACAGACCCCCACACCGUACACAUUUAAACUGCAAGUACAACAUGGAUUACAGCAUGAUUGAGGUGAAUGUAUAAAUAAAGAUUCUAAACCCUACAUACACCAGUGCAACAUGAAUAAGAAAAGACCAGAGUAAGGAUUUAUCUUAUGCCCACCCAUGGCUGUGCUAGGAGUGCUAAAUUGUGAAGGCAUGGUUGGCAAGAAUGUGGUACACAAUCGGAAUUUGUAUCACCUAGAUUCUGCUUCACUUCAUCAGUUCUACAUGGCUGGCAGGAAUUUUGAACUGAAGAAGGCUCAUCACUUGGAUUCUUCACAUCAUCACUU